rnacentral:misc_RNA from 1 species
GUCUAGCAUGGCACAGGUGGACGUGUCGACGGCGACACGGACAAGACCAUGUCCACACAUGAGCAAUCACGGAUUGGUGUGUCCCGCGGGCUCCUUGCCUCUCGCAAUCAACCACUAAAGAGGCCAUCCUUCUUAGUCCUGUGCUCAUUCGUAUCUUUAGGCCAUCCUUUUUAGUCCAGUGCGUUGCGUGUGCCAUCUACCCGGCUCUGCAGGAAGUCAACGUACCCUAUGUGCUAGUUCACCUCCCCACCUCGAGCGGGAGGCACAACCACAAUGUGGUCGUUGCGCGCACCUUAACGACACAACCCUUGGGCCCCGUGCUAGCUGGGCUCCUAAAGUAUCCCAAGCUCUCGCAAAUGCGACAGGCUUCGGGGACUUCGGCCCUCGGCCCGGACCUUGGUCGGUCAUUAAGCCACCCUCGUCGAGACAACGAUCGAUCCACCGAUAGGCCCCCUCCGCUCCCUGCAGGCG